rnacentral:rRNA from 1 species
AUGAGUUUCUACAGCCUUCACGAUUCUCUUCAUAAGGAGAUCGCCAAAAUCCAGUCCCGCUUCUAUUGGGCUGGGGAGCACGGCAAGCAGAAGUAUCACAUGGUCAGCUGGCCUGACAUCUGCAAGCCGAGGGAGCAGGGGGGUUUGGGGAUCAUGUGCUCCAAACGGAUGAAUAUUGCCCUCCUCUCCCGAUGGCUGUGGCGCAUCUCGCAGGGCCACGGGGGCCUCUGGCUGGACAUUAUCCGGAAUAAAUACCUGCGCGGCCAACCCCUUGCCUUCUGCCAGAAGUCGGGUGGCUCUCAGUUCUGGCAGUCCCUUGUCCAGCUCCUCCCUAUGCUCCGCAUUGGUACCUCUAUCUCGGUAGGAUCUGGCCGUUCGACGUUAUUCUGGUAUGACCGUUGGGCCGGUGACGCCCCCUUUGCGGCUCGCUUCCCCAUUCUCUUUGCUAUCUCUGUCGACCCCAUGAUCUCUGUUGAUAGGGCCCUAUUUGACUUAGGGCGCCUCACUUUCCGUCGGCCAUUUGGGCCUGCGGAAUCCGCCGUCUGGCGUGAGCUUCUUGAGUGCGUCGCUCUUCAUGAGCCGCUGGUUGACGGCGUCCAAGACCGUGUUCGAUGGCAUUUGGAGCCGUCUGGCCAGUUCUCUACCAAAUCGCUCUAUGCGGCCAUUGCCCCCUCCGCCGCCCCUCCCCCCCUCUCAAUGGUUUGGUCCGUCCGCCUCCCUCUGAAGAUCCGUAUCUUCAUGUGGCAGUGGAUCCGGGGACGGAUCCCCUCCGGUGUGGAGGUCCGCAAGCGUAAUGGCCCGGGUUCUGGUCUCUGCCCCCUCUGUGCCGUCCCCGAGGACUCUAACCACAUCUUCUUCGCUUGCACCUCUGCCCAGUUCCUCUGGAGCUGUUUUCGCGAGCUUGUCGGCGGAAAUUGGACUCACACCAACUUCCCCGACCUUUUUGCUGAACUCCAAGCGUCCCCCCCGUCCUCCCGCCACAUUAGGUGGCUGGAGGUUGGGACCCUAGCCUGGACUCUUUGGACUGUUCGUAAUAAGCUUGUGAUUGAGCGCACUCCGCUUCGUCGUGCUACUGACGCUCUCUACAAAUUCUCGGGUUUCCUGCAGCUUUGGCGGCCGCUUAGCCGUCUCCUGGAGCGCGACGCCAUCUCCGCCUUCAUCGCCGACCUCCGCUCGAUGGCCGUCCGCCUGUCGCCGCCGCCGCCGCCCCCUCCGCCGGAGCCUGACUAG